rnacentral:rRNA from 1 species
AAUAGAUACCCCGGUAGUCCACGCCGUAAACGAUGUCGACUUGGAGGUUGUUCCCUUGAGGAGUGGCUUCCGGAGCUAACGCGUUAAGUCGACCGCCUGGGGAGUACGGCCGCAAGGUUAAAACUCAAAUGAAUUGGCGGGGGCCCGCACAAGCGGUGGAGCAUGUGGUUUAAUUCGAUGCAACGCGAAGAACCUUACCUACUCUUGACAUCCACGGAACUUUUCAGAGAUGAAUUGGUGCCUUCGGGAACCGUGAGACAGGUGCUGCAUGGCUGUCGUCAGCUCGUGUUGUGAAUGUUGGGUUAAGUCCCGCAACGAGCGCAACCCUUAUCCUUUGUUGCCAGCGGUUAGGCCGGGAACUCAAAGGAGACUGCCAGUGAUAAACUGGAGGAAGGUGGGGAUGACGUCAAGUCAUCAUGGCCCGUUACGAGUAGGGCUACACACGUGCUACAAUGGCGCAUACAAAGAGAAGCGACCUCGCGAGAGCAAGCGGACCUCAUAAAGUGCGUCGUAGUCCGGAUUGGAGUCUGCAACUCGACU